rnacentral:rRNA from 1 species
AUACGUAGGGUGCGAGCGUUGUCCGGAAUUACUGGGCGUAAAGAGCUCGUAGGUGGUUUGUCGCGUCGUCUGUGAAAUUCCGGGGCUUAACUCCGGGCGUGCAGGCGAUACGGGCAUAACUUGAGUACUGUAGGGGAGACUGGAAUUCCUGGUGUAGCGGUGAAAUGCGCAGAUAUCAGGAGGAACACCGGUGGCGAAGGAGGGUCUCUGGGCAGUAACUGACGCUGAGGAGCGAAAGCAUGGGUAGCGAACAGGAUUAGAUACCCUGGUGGUCCAUGCCGUAACCGGUGGGCGCUAGGUGUAGGGGUCUUCCACGACUUCUGUGCCGUAGCUAACGCAUUAAGCGCCCCGCCUGGGGAGUACGGCCGCAAGGCUAAAACUUAAAGGAAUUGACGGGG